rnacentral:lncRNA from 1 species
CGUUUUCUCGUCAUAUGUUUGCCGCACGUUACUAUGAGAGAAGGUCAAAGAGGCGUUUAGAAAUGAUCUAUCAUGAGGUAAACUGUUCAGGUGCGCUGCAUUAUCUGCUGAUGCUGCCGAGGUUGCGGCGCCGCGGGAUCUCCCUUGUCUCCAGCUCCUUUUUUCGUCUGACCAGGGUUUUCGACCAGCGGCCACAAGAUUUGUGGGUUCUGUAACAAUGAUCAUUGCUCGGUAGCGGACCCUAACGGGAUUUUCUUUCCCCUGUUCCCAAGAGUUUCUGAUUUAGUACGCCUCCGUUUCUUUCUCCUCCAUUCCGCAGGCUGGUUCACGCCGCGCGCCGAGAUCACCAACGGGCGGGCAGCCAUGCUCGGCAUCGCAGUGCUGCUGUUUCUAGAGGAAAAGGCGGGGGUGCCGUUCUUCUGAACAAAUGUUUGGAGAACGUUUUUCCGACGCGGGUGCCGUAUUCGUAUCCGUGCCGUGUUUCUACAGGACCGUCUUGUGUGGUUCGGCGCAUGCGCCCUUAACCCUUAGGCUCCAGUGCGAAGGAGAGGGCAGUAAAUUGUGGCGGUGCAAUUGUAUAGUGUAAUGUACGCCUUUGCGAUAUGGCAUACAUUUAUACGCUUACCAACUGAUUUGCUAGGCAACAGCUAUGUUUCAUGAUUUGGCUGCGUGGGAUAGAUGGAUAUGUCCGUAUGUGACUGGCUCCUGAUUUGCUGGUCGCUGAUUGUGAGUAGCGUUGCGGUUUUUGUUGUGGUUAAUCCGUCUAUGUCCGACAUCAGAAGUCUUGCUGGAUGGCUGCUUGGCUCUUUAGUCUCAUAUGGCAGAUGUCUCGGGACGCUGGUUGUAUUUGGUACGGCACACCAUCGUCUGACGAGCAAUGUUAUGGUAACCAAAACUGCAGUGUGAAGGUGGGGUAUUGGUUUGCGUUGACGGGCUAGCUUUGGGUAGACGUUAGGCAUUACAAGUUGCAUUGGCCGUACCGGCCAGUAACAUGUGUCUCCCCGCAAAGGACGUCCGUCAAGGGGCGCACAGCUAACUAUUACGCCAAGCUUUGGGUAGCCGGGUCGGUCAGGACACUGCAGUCCUCAUUCAUUUAGAAAUGAUCUUCAUCCCACGGUCAUCUGGUUUCAGCAACGCUGUCCAUGUAAGCUUCUUUGGCGUGCAAUACUAGGGGGUUUGCAUUGCUGACAUACUGGCCCUCUCUGUUGUAUCACCACCAUAGUAGUGAGAACAAGGCAGCAGUUGGGCUGUACAUGGAAUGCAGCAUAACCUUCCGCCCUGACAAUAUCAGAAUCUACCACGGCUUAACAGUAGCAAAAGCUUGC